GGAAGGGUAGUUUAAUUGUAAAACUGUGACUUGUGGAGUCAUAAAUGGGCUCUCCCCCCUUCCA
rnacentral:tRNA from 1 species